CAGCCGCCGCGGUAAUACCAGCCCCGCGAGUGGUCGGGACGGUUAUUGGGCCUAAAGCGCCCGUAGCCGGCCCGGCAAGUCCCUCCUUAAAGCCUCGGGCCCAACCCGAGGACGGGGGGGAUACUGCCGGGCUAGGGGGCGGGAGAGGCCGGCGGUACUCCCGGGGUAGGGGCGAAAUCCGUUAAUCCCGGGAGGACCACCAGUGGCGAAGGCGGCCGGCGGGAACGCGCCCGACGGUGAGGGGCGAAAGCCGGGGGAGCGAACCGGAUUAGAUACCCGGGUAGUCCCGGCUGUAAACGAUGCGGGCGAGCUGUUGGGCGGGCUUAGAGCCCGCCCAGUGGCGCAGGGAAGCCGUUAAGUCCGCCGCCUGGGGAGUACGGCCGCAAGGCUGAAACUUAAAGGAAUUGGCGGG
rnacentral:rRNA from 1 species